AGCUCUUUUCAUAUGAGCUGCAUCAAAUUCUCAAGAUGUCCAAUUACAUCUGCUGCUGUUCUGCCCUUUAACUCAACAACUGACCAUCUUCACACUCUCCGUUACUCUCUGACUCCUGGAGUUUUUCUCUUUCUGCCUUUCUUUCUCUGUCUUCUGCUGAAUUGAUUCAUUUUUUGAUUUUGAUUUUCUGUGAAUUGCUACAGUAUAACAACAAAUAUAGCCAAUAUGCAUGUAGACGAUGAUGUGCCUGUGUAGCCUACAUUAUCUGCAAUUUUUAAAAAAGGCCUUACAUUAUAGCACCAGAUCUUGUCAGCAGUUUUGAGAAAGGCAGUUCUAUACAUUACAAUAAUAAUAAUUAUAGUUAUAAUAAAGAACUGAAGGACAAACUAAGUGUUAACUAGUAAAAAGUACAAUCUACUGUAGGAACACAAACGCCUUAUUUUUUAUUUUAUGUGUAAAUGUAAGAGACAUCAUUUAUAUUCAAUUGUGCUAAUCCCUUUACAGUAACAUGCACUGAUAAAAAAUUAAAUUAUUUGCUUUACAUGUGGAAUUUUAAACCUAAAUUUAACGACAAACAAGAAAUAUUCAGUAAAAUUAAUAAAUUACUCAGAAUUAUAGCGCAUAAUUUAUCUUAACGCUCCGUCUGUUUGACGCGCAUGCGCGCUCUGGCACUCGUUUAGUCAGUGAAGUUUGGCGGAGAUUCGCUUGCUAUUAGGACGAAUUUGGAAAUACUCAUGUGAAUUUAUAACAUUUACAAACAAGGAUAUAAACAUUAAAUGUAAGUUAUGCGCUAAGUGCGUUGGGGAAAACAUGUCUCACUCAUUAAACGGGAAACAUAUCUGACAGAGCACCUGACAGGGCAGUGACAUCUCUUCUCUUCUCUGAUGGCUGGCAUGAGGGCGGGACAACCUGUCACUCACAUGACAUCACAGCAAUAGCAAACCACAACCAUCCAAUCAAUUCACAAUGGGAAAAAAAAAUCAAGUCGAACUUCACAAUAGGGAACUUCCAUUCCAUGCUGACUUUACCAGUCAUGAAAUAAACAACAUGUCAGAAAAGUGACUCUGACAGAUCAGCAAGAUGAAUUUUGACUGUGACUGUGAAAACAGCAGAUCAUAUGUUCCUGCUACUCCCGUAAAUGUGUUUUACCUGAUGGCAGAUCUCGUGCACCACCACCAUGGUGAGCUCCAUCUGAUAGGAGAAGGAGG